CACGUAGGGCGCAAGCGUUGUCCGGAAUCAUUGGGCGUAAAGAGCUCGUAGGCGGUUUGUCACGUCUGCUGUGAAAACUCGGGGCUUAACCCCGAGCUUGCAGUGGAUACGGGCAGACUAGAGGUAGGUAGGGGAGAAUGGAAUUCCCGGUGUAGCGGUGAAAUGCGCAGAUAUCAGGAGGAACACCGGUGGCGAAGGCGGGUCUCUGGGCCGAUACUGACGCUGAGGAGCGAAAGCGUGGGGAGCGAACAGG
rnacentral:rRNA from 1 species